rnacentral:tRNA from 1 species
GCGUUCGUAGCACAACGGUAAGUGUGCCCGACUGUGACUCGGUAGAUGAGGGUUCGAUUCCCUCCGAUCGCCCCA